UGGGGAAUUUUGCACAAUGGGGGAAACCCUGAUGCAGCGACGCCGCGUGAUUUAGAAGGCCUUCGGGUUGUAAAAAUCUUUUCUAUGGGAAGAAAAUGACAGUACCAUAGGAAUAAGGACCGGCUAAUUACGUGCCAGCAGCCGCGGUAAUACGUAAGGUCCGAGCGUUGUCCGGAAUCAUUGGGCGUAAAGGGUACGUAGGCGGGUAAGCAAGUUAGAAGUGAAAUCCUGUAGCUCAACUACAGUAAGCUUUUAAAACUGCUCAUCUUGAGAUAUGGAAGGGAAAGUGGAAUUCCUAGUGUAGCGGUGAAAUGCGCAGAUAUUAGGAGGAAUACCGGUGGCGAAGGCGACUUUCUGGCCAUAAUCUGACGCUGAGGUACGAAAGCGUGGGUAGCAAACAG
rnacentral:rRNA from 1 species